UGACUGUAGGUGAAAGCUUACAUCUCUUCGGAGCAUUUUACGAGGUGCUGCAUGGUUGUCGUCAGCUCGUGCCGUGAGGUGUCGGGUUAAGUCCCAUAACGAGCGCAACCCUACCCUUUAGUUGCCAUCAGGUAAUGCUGGGGACUCUAAAGGAACUGCCUACGCAAGUAGUGAGGAAGGCGGGGAUGACGUCAAGUCAGCACGGCCCUUACGUCCAGGGCUACACACGUGCUACAAUGGCCGAUACAGAGGGCAGCUACCUGGUGACAGGAUGCAAAUCUCCAAAGUCGGUCUCAGUUCGGAUCGGAGUCUGCAACCCGACUCCGUGAAGUUGGAUUCGCUAGUAAUCGCGCAUCAGCCAUGGCGCGGUGAAUACGUUCCCGGGCCUU
rnacentral:rRNA from 1 species